rnacentral:rRNA from 1 species
GACGAACGCUGGCGGCGUGCUUAACACAUGCAAGUCGAACGGAAAGGCCCUGCUUUUGUGGGGUGCUCGAGUGGCGAACGGGUGAGUAACACGUGAGUAACCUGCCCUUGACUUUGGGAUAACUUCAGGAAACUGGGGCUAAUACCGGAUAGGAGCUCCUGCUGCAUGGUGGGGGUUGGAAAGUUUCGGCGGUUGGGGAUGGACUCGCGGCUUAUCAGCUUGUUGGUGGGGUAGUGGCUUACCAAGGCUUUGACGGGUAGCCGGCCUGAGAGGGUGACCGGCCACAUUGGGACUGAGAUACGGCCCAGACUCCUACGGGAGGCAGCAGUGGGGAAUAUUGCACAAUGGGCGGAAGCCUGAUGCAGCAACGCCGCGUGCGGGAUGACGGCCUUCGGAUUGUAAACCGCUUUCGCCUGUGACGAAGCGUGAGUGACGGUAAUGGGUAAAGAAGCACCGGCUAACUACGUGCCAGCAGCCGCGGUGAUACGUAGGGUGCGAGCGUUGUCCGGAUUUAUUGGGCGUAAAGGGCUCGUAGGUGGUUGAUCGCGUCGGAAGUGUAAUCUUGGGGCUUAACCCUGAGCGUGCUUUCGAUACGGGUUGACUUGAGGAAGGUAGGGGAGAAUGGAAUUCCUGGUGGAGCGGUGGAAUGCGCAGAUAUCAGGAGGAACACCAGUGGCGAAGGCGGUUCUCUGGGCCUUUCCUGACGCUGAGGAGCGAAAGCGUGGGGAGCGAACAGGCUUAGAUACCCUGGUAGUCCACGCUGUAAACGGUGGGUACUAGGUGUGGGGUCCAUUCCACGGGUUCCGUGCCGUAGCUAACGCUUUAAGUACCCCGCCUGGGGAGUACGGCCGCAUGGCUAAAACUCAAAGGAAUUGACGGGGCCCCGCACAAGCGGCGGAGCAUGCGGAUUAAUUCGAUGCAACGCGUAGAACCUUACCUGGGUUUGACAUGGAUCGGGAGUGCUCAGAGAUGGGUGUGCCUCUUUUGGGGUCGGUUCACAGGUGGUGCAUGGCUGUCGUCAGCUCGUGUCGUGAGAUGUUGGGUUAAGUCCCGCAACGAGCGCAACCCUUGUUCACUGUUGCCAGCACGUUAUGGUGGGGACUCAGUGGAGACCGCCGGGGUCAACUCGGAGGAAGGUGGGGAUGACGUCAAGUCAUCAUGCCCCUUAUGUCCAGGGCUUCACGCAUGCUACAAUGGCUGGUACAGAGAGUGGCGAGCCUGUGAGGGUGAGCGAAUCUCGGAAAGCCGGUCUCAGUUCGGAUUGGGGUCUGCAACUCGACCUCAUGAAGUCGGAGUCGCUAGUAAUCGCAGAUCAGCAACGCUGCGGUGAAUACAAACCCGGGGC